AGCGUUCGGUGGAUGCCUUGGCAUCAGGGGCCGAUGAAGGACGUGGUGGCCUGCGAUAAGCCUCGGGGAGCCGGCUGACGGGCUGUGAUCCGAGGGUGUCCGAAUGGGGGGACCCGGCACGAGUUAUGUCGUGUCACUCGUACCUGAAUUCAU
rnacentral:rRNA from 1 species